GAUGAACGCUGACAGAAUGCUUAACACAUGCAAGUCGAUGGGGAAGUGGUGCUUGCACCAUGGUAACCAUGGCGGACGGGUGAGUAACGCGUAAGGAACUUACCUGCGGGACCGGGAUAACAGCAGGAAACUGCUGACAAGACCGGAUAAGGUCAUUAAGCUGCAUAGCUUAGUGAUGAAAGGAGACGCCUGCGGAGAGCCUUGCGUCCUAUUAGCUAGUUGGAGGGGUAACGGCCCACCAAGGCGAAGAUAGGUAGCCGGCCUGAGAGGGUGGACGGCCACAAGGGGACUGAGAUACGGCACUUACUCCUACGGGAGGCAGCAGUGGGGAAUAUUGGACAAUGGGGGCAACCCUGAUCCAGCAAUUCUGUGUGCACGAAGACGGUUUUCGGAUUGUAAAGUGCUUUCAGCAGGGAAGAAGGAAGUGACGGUACCUGCAGAAGAAGCGACGGCUAAAUACGUG
rnacentral:rRNA from 1 species